rnacentral:rRNA from 1 species
GGACACACGCAAGUGCCCCUGUCUCAUUAGUAUUAAUAAAAAUUACCAAUCAGGUGAAGAGGCCUGAAUAAAAUAAAAAGACAAAAAGACCCUAUGGAGCUUUAUUUAAAUCCCUAAUCACACCAGCCCUACACCACCCCACCUUAGGCAAAUAAAUUUAGUUGGGGCGACUAAGGAAAACCAUAAAUCUUCCUCCCUAAAAAGAAAAUAAAUCCCGAUUGAUCCSUUAUACGAAUAUAGACACAGCUACCCUAGGGAUAACAGGCUAAUUCUUCUCGAGAGCCCAAAUUGACAGAAGAGAUUGGCACCUCGAUGUUGGCUUAGG